UCCUACGGGAGGCAGCAGUGGGGAAUAUUGCGCAAUGGGGGGAACCCUGACGCAGCCAUGCCGCGUGAAUGAAGAAGGCCUUCGGGUUGUAAAGUUCUUCCGGUAAUGAGGAAGGGAUGUUGUUAAAUAGAUAGCAUCAUUGACGUUAAUUACAGAAGAAGCACCGGCUAACUCCGUGCCAGCAGCCGCGGUAAUACGGAGGGUGCGAGCGUUAAUCGGAAUAACUGGGCGUAAAGGGCACGCAGGCGGACUUUUAAGUGAGAUGUGAAAUCCCCGAGCUUAACUUGGGAACUGCAUUUCAGACUGGGAGUCUAGAGUACUUUAGGGAGGGGUAGAAUUCCACGUGUAGCGGUGAAAUGCGUAGAGAUGUGGAGGAAUACCGAAGGCGAAGGCAGCCCCUUGGGAAUGUACUGACGCUCAUGUGCGAAAGCGUGGGGAGCAAACAGGAUUAGAUACCCUGGUAGUCC
rnacentral:rRNA from 1 species